CCGAGCCAACACACUGUCUACGGUAUCACUCAACACUGUGCAAGGAAAACACGGAGCAGACAGCAUGGCAACGGCGGCUCUCGUUUGAAAGCAACAUAAACGGACAUUAGCGUUGGAGUCAUGAAAGGAUCCUUCUGCUCACUCAGAUGAUCUGAGCAACAAGGACAUGAGCUGCCCCCAGCUACUCCGGGCCCAACUGAAUCUGACUCCUUACACCACCAAGAUGGAGACGUCUACCCCAAUACGGAAUCAAGCUCGCCGGUCUUGUAGCUUUGGAGACGGUAGAAGGAGCCCUAGCUUCCCUAUUAUAGGACAGACCGCGGCCCAGAACCAGGAAGAGGAGGGGUCGUCACGACAACGACGCAUAACCAUUGCGUCCUACAUGCCCCAGUCGUCUAAGGACCAGAAUGGAAACUUUGCAGAGAAGGACAACAACGGGCACGGGGCCAAGGCUCUCCCAGGACUCAACACAGAUGAAGUCUGCCAAUGGUUUAGCAGUCUCGGACUGCAGAGAUGCCUCCCUUUCAUCAGAGAGGGACACCUGUGUGGCGCAGAUAUCGCCUCCGUGGACGCCAGCACCCUGGAGAUGCUCCACCUGUCCACGCCCGAGGACCGGGAGCUGCUGCUGUCCAACAUCUACAGAGAGCUCCACCCGCCCAAUAGCCUGACCCGGAGACUGGACUCUCUGAUCGGAGAGACCUCCAGCAGAGCCAAGCCCUGCCGUGGGUCCCUUGAGCCAGCUGCUGUCCCCGCAGUGCCCAGCCUUGCUUCUGGUGGUCCAGGCGUGCCCGGGGCCCGACAGCCGAUACGGCUUCUCCUGCUGCUCCAGGGGGGCCGGUCAAGGCCUGGUGGUCACCCAGUCGGACCACUCCCAACUCUGCCUGGAGGACAGGCUGGUGGAGGUGAACGGCGUUGCCGUGGUGAAUUCCACCGAGGAAGACCUCCACGGCCUCCUGCUGCAGGGGGGCUCCAGCGCCCAGAUCGUAGUCCUGCGAAGGCCCUCGCUAAGGCCCGCCUCCUGCCAGCCCCCCGGGCCUGUCCAUCAACCGGCUCACCAUGUGCCUCCCCCCGCCGGCUCUCCGGAGGGGGGAGCGGUCGUCAAGGAAACCCCUCCACAGAGGAAGCUGAUAGCCAUUUGAAGAAUUUGUCGUUGUGUGUAAUAUGUGUGUGUGUAGUGUGUAGUGUGUGUAUAUUCGGGAUGUGUUGUGGGUAAUAUGUUGUAGGGAUUGUGUUAUGUUGUGUGUAUGUGCGUGUUCAUGUGGGCCAGAGAGAGAAAGAGAGAGAGAGAGUGAGCGAGCUGAUGUGAGGGGAGACAAUGUGUAGCAGAGUGAGGAGAGAGGAGAUAGAGGGAGAUGGGGGCAGUGAUGGCGUGGUGCUAAGUCCGCAUCAAGUCAAGCUUUAGCUGUCGCUGCCAAAUUAAUAGAGAUAACCUACUUUGUAGUUGUGUUGGUUAAAUAAAAAAGAAUGGUCUCGCCGUCUGUCCAUUUAUUCAAG
ensembl:lncRNA